rnacentral:rRNA from 1 species
UACGGGGGGGCAAGCGUUGUUCGGAAUUACUGGGCGUAAAGGGCUCGUAGGCGGCCAACUAAGUCAGACGUGAAAUCCCUCGGCUUAACCGGGGAACUGCGUCUGAUACUGGAUGGCUCGAGUUUGGGAGAGGGAUGCGGAAUUCCAGGUGUAGCGGUGAAAUGCGUAGAUAUCGGGAAGAACACCCGUGGCGAAGGCGGCUCUCUGGGACGGUACUGACGCUGAGACGCGAAAGCGUGGGGAGCGAACAGG